rnacentral:lncRNA from 1 species
GUCGAUAUUGGCAGGCCAAGGUGAAUUGUUUAUAAUUAGAUUUGCAAUAAUUAAAUGAUCUAAUAGCUUAGUCUUUCACCUACACAGUUAUCUAUUAAACUAAGAAACUAAUGCAUAAUUAUAUAUUUUACUGUUUUAUAGUUGUUGAGUACAAAUGUAUUCAGAAAAAUAAUUGAAGCAACCUAACGAGUUUGCAGCAGCGACUUCUUGUUGCGGCCGCGAGAAGUGGAUGUGAAUUUCUAAUGCAUAUAAUACUGUGACUAACACAUGUAAUAAUAUUAUACACAAAGCAUGAUUUUGCAGUUUGAUC